CAGCAGCCGCGGUAAUACGUAGGUGGCAAGCGUUGUCCGGAGUUAUUGGGCGUAAAGGGCUCGCAGGCGGUUUCUUAAGUCUGAUGUGAAAGCCCCCGGCUCAACCGGGGAGGGUCAUUGGAAACUGGGAAACUUGAGUGCAGAAGAGGAGAGUGGAAUUCCACGUGUAGCGGUGAAAUGCGUAGAGAUGUGGAGGAACACCAGUGGCGAAGGCGACUCUCUGGUCUGUAACUGACGCUGAGGAGCGAAAGCGUGGGGAGCGAACAGGAUUAGAUACCCCGGUAGUCCCUGUCUCUUAUAC
rnacentral:rRNA from 1 species